rnacentral:rRNA from 1 species
GACGAACGCUGGCGGCGUGCUUAACACAUGCAAGUCGAACGGAAAGGCCCUGCUUUUGCGGGGUGCUCGAGUGGCGAACGGGUGAGUAACACGUGAGUAACCUGCCCUUGACUUUGGGAUAACUUCAGGAAACUGGGGCUAAUACCGGAUAGGAGCUCCUGCUGCAUGGUGGGGGUUGGAAAGUUUCGGCGGUUGGGGAUGGACUCGCGGCUUAUCAGCUUGUUGGUGGGGUAGUGGCUUACCAAGGCUUUGACGGGUAGCCGGCCUGAGAGGGUGACCGGCCACAUUGGGACUGGGAUACGGCCCAGACUCCUACGGGAGGCAGCAGUGGGGAAUAUUGCACAAUGGGCGGAAGCCUGAUGCAGCAACGCCGCGUGCGGGAUGACGGCCUUCGGGUUGUAAACCGCUUUCGCCUGUGACGAAGCGUGAGUGACGGUAAUGGGUAAAGAAGCACCGGCUAACUACGUG